GACGAACGCUGGCGGCGUGCUUAACACAUGCAAGUCGAACGGAAAGGCCUGCUUUCCCUUGUGGAUUGCGGGUACUCGAGUGGCGAACGGGUGAGUAACACGUGAGUGAUCUGCCCCCAACUUGGGUAUAAGCCUGGGAAACUGGGUCUAAUUCCCGAUAGGACUGCAGGGUGGUGCCUGUGGUGGAAAACGAUUUUCUAGUGGUUGGGGAUGAGCUCGCGGCCUAUCAGCUUGUUGGUGGGGUAAUGGCCUACCAAGGCGGCGACGGGUAGCCGGCCUGGGAGGGUGGACGGCCACAUUGGGACUGAGAUACGGCCCAGACUCCUACGGGAGGCAGCAGUGGGGAAUAUUGCACAAUGGGCGGAAGCCUGAUGCAGCGACGACGCGUGGGGGAUGACGGCCUUCGGGUUGUAAACUCCUUUCGACCGCGAGGAAGCCACCUGGUGGGAAGGGUGGUGACGGUAGUGGUAGAAGAAGCACCGGCUAACUACGU
rnacentral:rRNA from 1 species